GCGCUAUCUUACUAAACCUAUCGACCACUACAAAUAUUGAAUCCCGACCCCUUUUUGUCCUAGGCAAACCUAACACAAAGUCCAUAGAUAUGUCUACCCAAGGUUCACUAGGUAUAGGCAAAGGAGUAUACAAACCAUGGGGUUGAACCUUAGACUUAGCAUUUUUACAAGUUAUGCACUUUCCACAUAUUUGUUCUACGUCAUGUCGCAUUUUAGGCCAAUAAAAAUAUUCCCCUAACAUGUCUAAAGUCUUUUGAACCCCGAAGUGUCCCAUUAG
rnacentral:lncRNA from 1 species